GACUAGAGUUUGAUCCUGGCUCAGAACGAACGCUGGCGGCGUGCCUGAACACAUGCAAGUCGAACGAGAAAGGGGCUUCGGGCCCUGAGUAAAGUGGCGCACGGGUGAGUAACACGUAGGUAACCUGCCUCUAAGAUUGGGAUAACUCGUCGAAAGAUGGGCUAAUACCAAAUAAGACCACAGUUUUUUCGGAAGCAGAGGUCAAAGGUAGCCUCUAUUUAUAAGCUAUCGCUUAGAGAUGGGCCUGCGCACCAUUAGCUAGUUGGUAGGGUAACGGCCUACCAAGGCAAAGAUGGUUAGCUGGUCUGAGAGGAUGAUCAGCCACACUGGAACUGAGACACGGUCCAGACUCCUACGGGAGGCAGCAGUGGGGAAUAUUGCGCAAUGGGCGAAAGCCUGACGCAGCAACGCCGCGUGAGUGAUGAAGGCCUUCGGGUCGUAAAGCUCUGUCGGAGGGAACGAAUGCUUUCGGGGUUAACAGCCCCGGAAAGUGACGGUACCCUCAAAGGAAGCACCGGCUAACUCUGUGCCAGCAGCCGCGGUAA
rnacentral:rRNA from 1 species